UUAGUUAAAACCAAAGCAGAGGUGUUUCACUGUUAAUGAAAUUAUUGAAUACUAUUUUCUAACUAAG
rnacentral:tRNA from 1 species